UAGUCCUAUCGCGUUGCAUGUGUGCUGUAGGAGGCGUCACGGUGCUGGCUAGACCUUGUGUCGUCCAGACGGCCUAGGACUGGAAACAGAUGCGUGAAUGUCGACGAUCAUUUCGUGUGAGGGUGUCCCCCCAUCCGCAUACUAUGAUAUUCAUGAAUAUGCCCCCGUGGUAUAAGCAUGAAAAUCAUGGUAUAAUCACGUGAAUUGUGAGGCAUUCUGCUCCUGCAUUCCGCUAGGUACAGAUCCGUCUGGGUCAGGUUACUGUUGAACGUCGGGUGGGGAUGACCCGGUGAUUUGGCAGUAUUGUGACGAUUACUACACAUACACCACGAUAGAAACUCAGCUGCUGCUAGUCAAGUCAUACUAAGCGGUGCCUAUCUUUAUUUUUUCUACAUCUGGAAUUAUCGGUAGGAUUUAUCGCUAAUCACUACGGAAGCCAAUUUACCGUUACCAAGUUUACGGAAUCUAAGCAAUUAGGAUACCUGGCUGGUCUGAAGGCAAAAGAAGAAGUCAAUUAAACCCGGAGAAACCGAUAAAUGCACAGUCUAGACAACGGCCCUUUGUCCAUUCAGAUGUACAUAAAACAUUCGUAUUAAUUUUUAUAAAUUAUUUUUGCUCACUUCUCUCAAUUUGAUCAGCCCUCUAAACAAGCCGUUAUGGCGAACACGUUUUGACAAAAUGACGUAUGCAAUGUACCACUAUGUGAUUUGAGUAUUGUCUAUUGGCUCAUUGUAUUAUGUUAUAGUUUAGUUAUAUGAAUUCUUAUCCUUGAAUUGCAGUCUUUAUUUAUUUUACAUUGCCAUCUGCCAACCAUUGUCAUUCCAUUGUUCCAGUUUUCAACAGCUUCUCGACUAAGGCAACAAUCAACCAGCAGUAUUUCAAUCCUUCAGUCAUUACCUCCUCUCAAAACUUUGAAAUUUUCGUUAUUGGAUUGGAUCCCGUCUCUACCGUAUGCGGUCAUAACCUUUCUCAGCGCGCCAAAACGCAUAGACUUGAAUUCCAUCGCCUAAUUGAGAUUUCAAAUUGUUCAUCAUCAUCUCUGCCAAAAAAUCGCCAUCUAAUGCAAGUCAUCAAGUCAUGCCUCCUUACCUAAUUUACCACAUAA